AACAACAGACAAGGUCUCGAAAUUAUCAGGGUCCUCCAAAUACAACUUCAAAUCAGCUGCCCUUUUCGCAGUACCGAACCUUACACAUGGAGCUCUAGUCAUACCAUCUUUCAAUAGAACACUUGUAGCUCCACCAGACAAAUGAAUAGCCUUACAGCCCCUAUUAGUGCUAGCCACCAAGCACCCUUCCGUGGUUGCCAUAGGAACCGAGUACUCUCUUCCAUUAACCAACAAAGGCCCGGAAAUUCCAACGGGAAUUUGCACGUAGCCAACCGGCAUCUCACAACACUGCCCCAAAAUCGACUCGUAAUCAAACCCAUCCAAGGGCAAUCCUGAUAACGACUUCCCUGUUAAUCUUUGCAACGCUUCCCGCCUGAUUGCGGCCGCCCUCUUGCAAUCACCCAAUUUCGAUUCCAAGGAAUACGAAGGGGUUGUUCCAGCAACUACAGAUUUAAUUAUUUCUUCAUCUUCCUCCGUUAGUACCGUCACAGGCUUUUCAUCGAACACUUUCUGGGCAGUCACGAUUGGUGCCGCAGGAGGCAAAGGAGGAAGCAAGCAAUCAAGAGCUUGUCCGCAAGGGACCUUACGGGCAUCCUCUUUUGCAAGCAAAACUUCGUUUUCCUCUUCCUCGUCUUCGGCAAUCCAAUCGUCAGACGAUGGCCGGAAAACCAAAGAUUGAACGAAGUCAAGCCCAAAGAAACCCAAAAGGUAAAUAAACGAUGCGAAAAACGCGAGAAUCGCGAUGAUCUCAGAAAAGGUGACGACAUGGAGAGGCGUGGAGGUACGGAUCUUCUCACGCCAACGGGAAAGAAGGAAAUAAACCACCGAGAAGAAGAGGGUAAAGAACACCGCAUUCGUCAGAUGAAAAGGAAGCGGCAAUGCGUCGGAGGCUUUAGUGGGAUCUUCCUCUAAAGGAAUCUUCUUCGUGGGCUUGAGAGAUUGAACUCGUUUAGUCGAAUACAGCCGGGGAGCCUCCAUUUUGGGUGUCGACGGCGGCGGAAACCCGGCGGUGGAGGAGGAGAAUAGAAGAGGAAUGAAAGUAAGAGAUGAUUUCAGUUAGUUUUACGAUUAUGGUGAAGGUGGAGCUUGAGAUGCUAGAGUUUAGGGAGGGAAGGGGAGUAUUUAUAGGAUAAAGAGUAAAGAGAGCGUGAGGAAAAAGGCGCGUGAAGUGAAGAUGGGGCAGUGUUUGGCACUUGUUAGUGUGGAGCUUUACCAAGAGAAGAGUCAAAGAAAGAAUUAUAGGGAUAGUGUUUGGAAGCGUGCAGUGCAUGGGAGCAACGUCGUCAGCACAUCCUGGCUGCUUCAUUUUCAUUUAGGGUAAACUACACAAUCAGUCACUAAAGUAUGGGUACGUUUUUGUUUUGAUCACUGAACUAAAAAAGUUACAAUUUUGUUACUGAACUAUUCAAAAGUUUCCAUUUAAGUCACUGAGCUGUUAAAAUCGAUGCUACACAGCUUUUUCUCUUCACACUGCCUACAUGAAUCGGAAGUUCUCUUUCCCUUUCUUUUUUACGAUUCAAUUUUUUUCUACAACUUUUUUCUUCGUUAGAAAAUGACCUUCAGAUCGACUUGAAUCUAAGAUAUGUUCUUUUACUUGCUAAUGGGUAUUGAUCCACUGUACCAGUCGUUGAGUCGUCACUUGGAGCUCGUUGACAGAAUUUUUAAAAAAAAAUAGUUAACAACCUAGUGACUUAAACAAUUUUUUUUGAAUAGUUCAAUGACUUAAAUGAAAAAUUUCAAAUAUUUUAGUGACCAAAUUGUAACUUUUUAGUUAAGUGACCAAAACGAAAACUUAUCCAUAAUUUAGUGACUAAUAAUAUAAUUUUCCAUUCAUUAUAUUUGGUCUUUCUCCCUAUUUUGAUAUUUUCUGUCACGUGUUUUUCAUUAUUGUAUGGGUUUAAUUAUUCCUUAUUUUGGGUUGUUUUUCAUAAUAAAUUAUCCAAAUAAAUAUUAACGCUGUUGUUAAGUUAUAUACAUUUUUGGGCAAAUGUCUAUUAAAAGAAAUAGAAAUGAAAGAAAGUCGUAUUUAUUAUUAGCAUAAUUUUUUUACCUUCCAAAUUUAUAAAAAAAUUAUUUAUUUUAUCUCUUUUAGUCUUUCAAUUUAUUUUUUUAUCAAAUUAUUUCAAAAUGAAUUAAAAAGUUAAAAUUCUUUAACUUUGUUGAUGUUACAUACACGUGGAUUACCAUCUAGAUAACACAUAAAUAUUUAAAAUCUUAAAAACAUUAACAAAUAUAUAUUUUUAUAAUUUUAUACUUUUAUAAUACUUUUAUUGGUUUUUAAAUUUUAAAAAUAGUUUUUAAAAAUAUAUUUUUAAAAUUUUAAAUUUAAAAAAAUUAAUUAAAUACCGGCGUGUUAUCCACGUGACAAUGCACGUGUAUUCAAGUAAGCAAAGUUAAACAACAUCAACUUUUUCAUUCAUUUUGAGGUAAUUUGAUAAAAAAAUUAGUUUAAGAGCUAAAAAAGGACAAAAUUAAAUAGAAAACUAAAAUGACAUUUUUUUGUAAAGUUAAAGAAUCAAAUAAAUUAUUAUGCCUUUAUUAUUUAAUAAAAUUUAUGCAAAGUAGGACUUUGACUUGAAUUCAUAAUUAAUUUUGAUUUUUUCCUUUUGCUCGUAAUUAAUUGGAUAAGUUUAUAAUUUAAAUUAAUAUGUAAAAAAAUUAAAAUAUAGAGCUUUCACAGCUCAUUUUUCCUUUUUAGAUUAUUAUUUUUUUGCAUGUUUAUUAAAUUAAAGUUCAAAUUUGACAUUUUUAAUAUUUUAAUAUAAUCAAAUUAGACCUAUUUUAUAUUAAAUAAAAUCUAACCCAUUCUUUAAUCCUUAAUUUUCACGUUUCUGUAUUUUUUUCCCAUCAAUUCAAGCAGCCUCUUGCUCUGUAGUCAUAUGUAUGUAUAUAUGACAAUAAUUAUUAUUCGGUUUACGUGGACUUUUAUACAAUAAUGAAGAUUUUUUUUAGGGUAAAUUAUUAAAACAUCAUUUCAAAAAUCAAGUGUAAUAAACAAAAUCCUUAAUCCAAUAAUAAUAAUAAUAAUAAAUUGGAUCUUUGAAUUAUCGUUUCUAUCACGACUCUUGAUAAUUAAUUACUGACAUGAUAAGUGAUGUGGUGGGUGACAUGAAACUUUUGAUGAUAUGGUGGUUGAUAUGGAGGACUUAAUUGAUUUUUGUUAUUAUUUUAGGAGGCUUAAUUGAUGUUUAAGGAUUAUAUAACAAUUCUUAAGAAAUUAUUGAAAAUUAUUAAAAAAACAAAAAUGGAAAGAAAAUAUUAAAAUUAUUAUAAAAUUUUAGCUAAAAGUUAUUAAAAUAUUUAAAAAAUGUUGAAAAUUAUACAACUAUAGAAUUUAUUAAAUAUCAUAAAAUUUUAAAACUAUUAUUAAUAUGUUAUGAAAAUAAUGGAAAUAUUAAAUUAAUAUUAUAAAAAAUUUAGAAAUGAUAGGAAAUGAUAUAAAAACAAUUAAAAUGAUAAAAAAAUAAAAAUAAAAAUUAUUGAAAGUAUAAAAAAUUUGAGUUAAGGUAGUGAUUGUAUAGACGAUAAAAAUUUUAUAUGCUUAAAAGUUAAUGACAUGGUUUAUUCUAUUCGUGCCUAAAAACAUUAAUUUAUAAAAUAAUUUAUUUUUAUAAAUAUUAAUAUAUACACUUUUUUAGAUUGAUAUGAUAGAAAAAUCGAAUCGAUUAAAAAUUUUACAAUAAAAUGAUUUAAAAAAAAAAUAAAGAAUGUUUUUUGGGCUACGUAAAAGAAUAUUGAUCACUCUAUAAGACUGGUUUUUUAUAUCCUUUUGCAUAUAUUUUAGUAGAUAAGGGAGAAAUUAUUUUCUUUACGCCUCUGGUUUCUAUACGGCUGAAAUUUUCAUUCAGUCAAUGACAUGAAUUUCAAAAUAGGAUGCCUAUUUAAUUUUUAUAAAUACAAAUGAUUGUACCCAAAUAUAAUAAUUUGCAUGCGUAUAUAUAUUUGAAUAAUUUCUGAUAGUUCUCUUUAAUAUUACUUAUAGUCUAUUCCCAGCUCAUAAAUAGGAGGAUAAUGUGAUUCAGCAUACUCAAACCCACGUCAUCUUGCAUUGAAAACAAUAAUCAUACUAAUCGAACUAAGACUCAAUCAACAAUUUGCAUAAUUCAUGCAAUUGGUGAUUAUUAUAAAACAACAUUCAAUAAAUAUUAAUAUUCAAAUGUUAAAUUUAUAAUUGUUUGUGCUAUUUUAGGUUCCAACAAGUUAAAAAUUCGUGUUGGGUUAGUUUUUUUUAUAUAUAUGUUUCUGGAGAUCUGUUAAAGGAUGCAGUCAAUUAUCAGGAGUCACUCUCGAAGGGUCUUAUCAUAUAAUAGAACACAAUAAUGGUAUUUGUUAAAAUUGGAAUCUAAGAUGGUGAAAAGGAGGAUAGCCACCUUUGACUUAACCUUUUGUACAUUAUGGAUGCGAUGAGUCUCUUGAUUGAUCGAAGUUUAUUGUCAGCCUUUUGUACAUCACAGAUGCAGUGAGUCUCUUGACAGAUAUUUCUUGGUUGACUGGAGUUUAUUGUCAGGUUGGUUUGAUGAUGGCACGAUUAAGAUACAAUUUUCAAUGGUUUGAUCAAGAUGGUACAUUUUUUGUUUGUUUUUGAAUUCUUUUAGAGUUACGAAUAUUUUACAAACAUAUAACAUAUGAGCAUCAAUUUAUAAUUUAUUAUAUCCCAUAUUUUUAUAUUCUUAUUAUUCAUGAUUGCUAUUAAUGAUAUGUUUUCUUUGUACAUAUAUGAAAUAGACGAUAAGAUUGAAGUAAUUUCUUUUUCCAAAAUAAUAAGCAUGCAUGAGAAUUGUUCAUCGCCAUGUGCUAAAGACUUGGACUGUUUGUCAAAGUUCUCUUCAAAAAAAUCAUAUAACUCACAAUGAAAGUUUAUAUAUAUAUAUAUAUAUAUAUAUAUAUAAGCAUAGUCAGGCCAACCAAUGUAGAAAAAAACUAACAUGAUAUCAUCUUUUCUUAUUGCCCAGUAUUUAUUUAGCAAAUAUUGACUGUAAUAUUGUCAUGAUUAGACCAUAUUAUUUUUGGACAAGAACAAGGUCAUUUCCAGUAAAUUCAAAAUAAAAUAUUAACUUAGUUUUAAAAUUAGAUUAAAAAGACAAUGUAACCCAAAAAGUUCAAAUAAGCCCCUAUUUUAAUAAAAUCAGUAGGUUCAAAUUUAAAAUUUCGAACAAAAUUAGGUGUCUAUAUAGAUAUUUUGUUAAAUACCAAAAUUUCCAAUGAAUUAUCAAAAUUUCUAAACUUAUACCAGAAUACCAAAAUUUCUAAAGUAAUAGUUGAUAUACCAAAGAUAUUACGUUAUAUGCCACAAUUUUAAGGGAAUACCAAUAUUUCUAAGCAAUCUCAUUAGAAAUUUUGGUAUACCAAAUCAUGUUACACAAACUUUUACCAAAAUUUCUAAGAGUUCAACAUUUUAGAUCACAAUUUCAAAGUAAAUAUCAAUAUUUCUAAGGAACCUCAUUAGAAAUUUUGGUAUACCAAAAUCAUGUUGCACAAGCCUAUACCAAGAUUUUUAAUGAAAUGCUAAAAUUUCUAAGCGCAUAUCUUUAGAUAUUUUGGUAUACCCAAAUCGCGUUAUAGAAGCUUUUACCAAAAUUUCUAAAAGAAUAGUAAUAUUUCUAAGGAACCUUGCUAGAAAUUUUGGUAUAUCAAAAUCAUGUUACACAAGCCUAUACCAAAAUUUUCUAGUGAAAUACCAAAACUUCUAAGCACAUAUCUUUAGAUAUUUUAGUAUAUGCUUCAAUUUCUAAGGGUACCAAUAUUUCUAUGGAACUUUGUCAAAAAUUUUGGUAUGCCAAAAUCAUUUUACACAAGAUUUUACCAAAAUUUCUUAGAGCUUAACCUUAGAUAUUUUGGUAUGUAGCGCAAUUCUUAAGGGAAUAUCAAUAUUUCUAAACAACCUCGUUAGAAAUUUUGGAAUACUAAAAUUAUGUUACACAAGCCUAUAUUAAUAUCUUUAAUGAAAUAUUGAAGUUUUUAAGAGCUUAUCCUUAGAUGUUUUGACAUAUACCACUUUUUGUAAGGGAAUACCAAUAUUUCUAUAGAACUCUGUUAAAAAUUUUAGUAUACCGAAAUCUAGAUUUACAAACUUAUAUCAAGAAUUCUAACAAAAUACCAAUAUUUCUAAUAGCAUAUCCUUAAAUAAUUUGAUAUAUUCCAAAAUUUAUAAUGGAAGACCAAAAUUUCUAUAACUUUCAAUGAACUACAGUUCUUGGUAAAUCUAUAUACCUAUAUAUAUAUAUAUAUAUAUGAAAGGAAAAACAUCCUCCUUUUCUUGAUAGAUGGCACACCUAAAAUCAAUGGCGGACGUUAUAGAUGGCACACCUACAAUCAAUGGCGGAGUCAAGUAGAGGCUUAGGGGACCAUGACCUCCCAAAGUUUAAUUUUUUUUAAUUUAGUCCUUUGUAAAUAUACUAUGGCCCUUCCUAAAAUAUAAGUAGAUCCUCCUAAAGUUUAAGAUUUUUGCAAUUUCCCCCUUUAUAUAUAUUAUGGUUCUCCUAAAAAUAUAAAUACUCCCCUCCAAUAUUUUUAUAGUAUUAAAAAUAAAAUUAAAAAAAUUAUUCUUGAUAAAAACAAAGAAAAAUAUUCUUGAAGAUGCUAAAUUACUCAUGAUGACUUUUGAAUGAUAUUUUUGUUAAAAAAUAAUAAAUCAAUUGUUAUAUUGAAAUACUCCUUCUUUUGAAUUGAUUGUUUAUAUGUUUAAAUCGAUUGUUACGUAACACGUCUAAUUUUAGCAUGAUCCCCUCCAAAAUUAACAUCUUGGCUCCGCCACUGCCUACAAUACUCCUUUUAUUUUGCAUUCAAUAAAAAAAGUUAAAUUUCAAUUUCGGUUCAUCUAAUAUGCCUAAACUUGAGAUUUAAUAUAUAUACUUUAAUUUCUAACAUAAUUUGGUUUCUAUAUAUUAUUAUAAUAUUAUUAAUCAGUUCAAAUAGUUAAUAUUAUUCACUUUUCAAUUAAAAUAUUAUAUGGUUAUAUAUAAUUUGAAUACCUUAAUAGUCUUGGAGGCUAACAUACAGCUUUUUGUUUCAUUUAAGUUCGUGUCAUUUUUUUAACAUUAUAAGAUAAUGGUCAAAUUUUAUUUUUGGCCUCUAGACUAUGUUAAAACUUGAGAUUAAUCUAUAUACUUUAAUAUUUUACAUAAUUUGGGCUAUCUACUUUUAUAAUGUCAUUAGCUGGUCUAAAUAAUUAAUAUUAUUAACUAUUUUAAUUAAAAUGUUGGGUAAAUUUUUCUUAAGAACAUUAUUUCAAGAAGAAAAAAAUUAUUUUAUCGAAUUUAAAUGAGUGUUUUUAAGAGAAACUCCUAAUCAAUAUUUUUAACAUUAUUUUUAUUGUUACAUGACUAUUAAGGGAAUCUUUUUAUUUUAAAAUGUCCACCAGAGAAUUUAAUAUAAUAAUUUUAUCGAUGGUAACAAUUGAGCUAAAAUUUUUAAUUUGAAAAGUAGAUAAUUAUGUUCUUAAAAAUAAAAGUAAGACUAAAUUUCAAAUGAACAAAGUGUAUCAGGUCUUAGAGUAUAUUUUAAUCUUCAAAUUUUUACUUUAUAAUUUCACACAAAUAAAUAAUCAACUUAACGUGAAGCAUGAGAUGAGAACCUUAUUAGUAUUUUUCAAAAGUUGCUUAAUGCGCUUUAAAAGUUAUCAAGUAUUUUACAUUAAGGCAAAAAAAAAGAGAGAGAGUAAACUACACUCAAUUUCACUAAACUACUAGUAAAUUUACAUUUAGGUUACUCAACUUCAGAAAGUUAUAAAAUGAUCAUUGAACUAUUUGAAAGUUUUCAUUUAACUUGGCGGACUGUUAAAAUCAUUGAUGUAUGGCCUUUCCUAUUUGCAUCGCAAACACCAAUUGAAAGCUUUCCUUCCCUUUCUCUUCUACAUUUCAAUUUUUUUUCAUGAAAUAACUUUGAACGUGACAAAUCUGUAAACAAAAAUCUAAACAGCUUUCUUCUUUAAUCUCUAACACUAAUCGUCAGAUCAACUUGAAUAUAAUGCAUGUUCUUCUACUCAUCAAUUGGUACAGAUCCAUCGUACUGAUCGUUGAACCAUUGCUUGGAGCUCGCUAGCUUGGCCUUUUAAAAAAAAAAAAACCCUUUAUAACCCAAUGACUUAAAUGAGAGUGACCAUUCUGUAAUAUUUUGAAGUUGAGUGAUUUGAAUAUAAACCUACUAAUAGUUAUCUUUGGUUUAGUUUACCCAAAAAUAUAUAUUAUAUAUAGUUAAUAUAUGUCAUAAGUCCCUAUACUAUUCAUAAAAUUGAAAUUUAAUCCAUCUUAAUUUCUAGAAAUUUAAUCCUAUACUUUAAAGAUUUUUCAAAAUUCAAAUUCAAUUGUUAACAUUGUUAAAAUUAUUUUAUUAAAUUCAUGUUCGUUAUAACAUUAUAUUUCUAUCAAGUGAGUUUUUUUUUAAAUGUCACGCCAAUAAAUUUUAAAAAAAAAUAAUGUUAACAAGUGUACCAAUAUUUUGAAAUCUCAAGAGUAGAAGAAUUAAAUUCUUGAAAAUAAAAAGCAUAAGAACUAAAUUUGAAAUUUAUGAAGAGUACAAUGAUUUAUGACAUAUAUAAACCUAUAUAUAAUAAAAGAAAGGAAAAAACAAAAAUACCAAAUAAAUACCAACAAGUGUUAAGGACAACAUAUCGCAUAGGAGACACAAGUUUAAAUUUUGAACACAAUAUAGUUAGGAGAAGCAGCCAUAAACCCAAACACAAACAGUAAAAGGGACAUUUAAAAUACCAAAAAAAUUACAAAAUAAAUAAAAAAAAACUACAAAGGGAAGUUUAUGCUGCAAGAGAUGAAACGCUGUGGACCAACUAAUUUUUACUCGUCAACUAAUUGGGUAUAGAUCCUUUGUUCCAUAUUCAUCAUCUACCAUUGUAAGAUAUGGCUUCCAAGGCCUCCCUGACGGUAUCAGAGUAAUUCUGUGCCUCUCUAAUGAAAUUAAUUGAUGACGGUUGGCCGGCUCGAAACACAACCUCAUUUCUCAUUUUCCGGAUAAUAAACAGACACCCAAAAGUUAAGACUGUAUCCUGAUCACUGAAGACAACCAGUGAGAGAUAUUAUACCGUGACAAUAAAUGGGAUGUACAUCUAAGCUAGACACAAGGAGAUAUGUCUCCUUAGUACUUUCUACCAUUGGAGAUUGCAACUUUACCCCCAAAUAUCAGACUAUCGUUACGUUUUCUCUAUGAAGAAGCCUUGGACACAUCCUUAGUUGACCUAUUGUACUUCAUAUGGCUCUUAACUAAUUGUCCUGCUGCAAUUGCAGACAUAAGCGACAGCUCCCCUGCAAGAACAGCAGACGCUACAAUGGUUGCCAGCGUCCUAGAGUUUGCUCCUGGUGUCUCUUUGCUUGCACCCUUCACUCCAAGUAAGUUCAAACAGGCUGAUUGAGAUGCAAGCUGAGUUCCACCACCAACAGUCCCAACCUAAAAGAUACAGCAACACAGAUUAUUAGAGACUAACAUAAAUACCCAGAUUUUGUUUUGGCAACGAAAGUCCUUGUGUUGGAUAAUCAGACAGCAACACUAUCAAUUACCUCGAUGGAAGGCAUUGUGACAGAGACGUGGAGGUCCUUUCCAUCAUUAACAGCUUCCAUCAUCGUGAUGCAAUGCGAGCUCUCGACAUUUUGAGCCGGAUCUUGGCCGGUAGCUAUGUAGAUUGCAGCAACGAUGUUACUGGCGUGAGCGUUGAAUCCACCCAGAGCUCCAGCCAUAGCUGAUCCAGUAAGGUUCUUAAGCAUGUUAAGCUCAACGAGAGAUUCCACACUUGUCUUCAAGACCUUCCUAACCACAUCACCCUUAAUGGUGGCUUCACAGACAACAGAUUUGCCUCGUCCUUCAAUCCAAUUUACCGCAGCCGGUUUUUUGUCGGAACAAUAGUUUCCUAUAUGCGCAAAUUCAUAAAUAUCAGUGAUCCUAUGUCGGAACAGUGAAAGACAUAAUUACAAGCCUAUACAAAAAACUGAAACUCACCAGAGAUGCCGAUGACAUCCAUGUCAGGGAAAUCAGUUUGAAGGAAAUCCAAAACGUUUUGCACUCCCUUGGAAACCAUGUUCAUCCCCAUAGCAUCACCUGUACUGCAAGUGAAUCUAAUAUACAGAUUCUUUCCAGCAAUUGCACAUUUGAUACCUUGGAGCCUGCCAAAUCUACUUGAUCUGCAACCACCAAAAAGCCAAAAUUUUCAAUAUUAGCUUGAAUUUUAAAUCCAUCAAUAUGGAGUUCUAGAAAUAUCAACACAAACCUGUUGAAAACAACAGACAAGGUCUCGAAAUUAUCAGGGUCCUCCAAAUACAACUUCAAAUCAGCUGCCCUUUUCGCAGUACCGAACCUUACACAUGGAGCUCUAGUCAUACCAUCUUUCAAUAGAACACUUGUAGCUCCACCAGACAAAUGAAUAGCCUUACAGCCCCUAUUAGUGCUAGCCACCAAGCACCCUUCCGUGGUUGCCAUAGGAACCGAGUACUCUCUUCCAUUAACCAACAAAGGCCCGGAAAUUCCAACGGGAAUUUGCACGUAGCCAACCGGCAUCUCACAACACUGCCCCAAAAUCGACUCGUAAUCAAACCCAUCCAAGGGCAAUCCUGAUAACGACUUCCCUGUUAAUCUUUGCAACGCUUCCCGCCUGAUUGCGGCCGCCCUCUUGCAAUCACCCAAUUUCGAUUCCAAGGAAUACGAAGGGGUUGUACCAGCCACUACAGAUUUAAUUAUUUCUUCAUCUUCCUCCGUUAGUACCGUCACAGGCUUUUCAUCGAACACCUUCUGAACGGUCACGAUUGGUGCCGCAGGAGGCAGAGGUGGAAGCGAACAAUCGAGAGCUUGCCCGCAAGGGACCUUACGGGCAUCUUCCUUUGCAAGCAGAACUUCAUCAUCCUCUUCCUCGUCCUCGGCAAUCCAAACGUCAGGCGAUGGUUGGAAAACCAAAGAUUGAACGAAGUCAAUCCCAAAGAAACCCAAAAGGUAAAUAAAGGACGCUAAAAAUGAGAGAAUGGCGAUGAUCUCGGAAAAGGUGACGACAUGGAGAGGUGUGGAGGUACGGAUCUUCUCACGCCAACGGGAAAGAAGAAAAUAAACCACCGAGAAGAAGAGGGUGAAGAACAGGGCAUUCGUUAGGUGCAAGGGAAGCGGCAAUGCGUCGGAGGCUUUACCGUGAUCUUCCUCUAAAGGAAUCUUCUUCGUUGGCUUGAGAGAUUGAACAGGUUUAGUCGAAUACAGCCGGGGAGCCUCCAUAUUGGGUGUCGACGGCGCGGAAGCCCGGCAGUGGAGAAGGAGAAUAGAAGAGGAGUGGAAGUGAGAGAGGAUUUCAGUUAGUUUUACGAUUAUGGUGAAGGUGGAGUUGGAGAUGCUGGAGUUUAGGGAGGGAAGGGGAGUAUUUAUAGGACAGAGAGUAAAGAGUGGUGGAGCGUGAGGAAAAAGGCGCGUGAAGUGAAGUGUUGGGCCCGUGUGAGUGGGGAGUCAAAGAAAGAAUUUGAAGGGCAGUGUUUGCGUGCAGUGCAUGUGCAUGGGGGCGCAUUGCAUUUUCCUUUCGUUUGGUCUUAUCUCCGUUAACUGCUAUUUUGUAUCUCUUUUAAUUAUUCCUUAUUUUGGGCAUUCAUUAAUUAAUAUGAGACCAUAUUUAAACUUUUGAUGAAUGGUAGUGAUAAAUAUAUAUAAUCUCGAAUAUAAAUCGUAAAAUUAACAUUAAAUAAAUAAAUAUAUAUAAUAUAUGUGAUAAAAUUUAUCAUUAGUAAUAUAGAUAAAGAUCACAGUGGAAUUUACUUCUUCGAUAUUUACAUAUUAUUAGUUUUAUAAUUGUUUAUACAAUGUUUAAAAUUAUAUAUAGCUCCUCUUAAAGGAUAAUGCGCACUCACUGAGUUAGGACUCAAUCGAUAACAAUCUUACAAAUUUUAUUUUAUAUAAAAAGAAGAGCUUCCAUUUUUUAUUAAAAAAUUACAGAUACAAUUGUGUUUAUUUUGAACAAAUGAAUUAUUCAUAUGAAUAUACAUUUUAGGGUAAAUAUUUAUAAAAAUUAAUUUUUUAAACUGGUAUGGUGAUUAACUAUUUAUAUUUAGGGUUUUGCACAGUUUUGUAUACGAUGGUGUAUUAAAUCCUGUGAAAAUAUUUCAAUGGAGAAGGGAGAAUUCAGUCUAUGACAUGAAAUUCAAAAUAGGAUGCCUGCUUUAUUAUUAUAAAUAUUGAUUCAUGCCGUCACCAUUAUUAUUUUAAAUCCUCUAAAUGAUUUAUAUAUUUAUAUAAUUUUGGAUAAUUUAAUUUAUCUUUUAAUGGAAAUGUUAAAAAAAUAAACUAUUAAAAUAGUCACUUUUGUUUACCUUAUAUUACAUUUUAGUUGUUGUAACAUUUUAGUCACUGAGCGGUUAAGUGUCAUUAAUAAUAUAAUGGUAAGCUAAUAUGGCAUGUUAAAUCAUCAUUUCAAACAAAAAAUUCAGGUUAAAUUAUACAAUUGGUCCAAUAUUUCUCUGUUUUGAACAAUUUUUUUCUUUAUUUUCCAUUCUCUUUUAUUUCUCUCUUUGUUUUCCUCCCUUUUUCAUUUUUUUAACUUAAUUUUUCUAUGUUUUCUAUUUGUUAAAACUAGUCCCUAUACUUUUAUUUUUUUGAACAUUUUAAAAUUUUUAAUUUUCCUUUUCUUCUUCUCCUUUAGUUUUAACAAAUGAAAAAUAUAGAAAAAUUACAUUAAAAGAGAUAGAAAAGGGAGAAAAACAGAGGAAGAAGUAGAAGAGAAAGAAAAAUAAAGAAAUUAAAAUGCUCAAAACGAAAAUAAUAUGGGGACCAAAUAUAUAAUUUAACCUAAAAUUUUUGUUUGAAAUGAUGAUUUAAUGUGCCACAUCAGCUUACCGUUACAUCGUUAACGGCUCAGUGACUAAAAUGUUACAACACGUUAACAUAAAUGACUAAAAUGUAACAUUUCAAACAUAACUGACUAAAAUAUAAUAAACUAAAGCAAACAAAAAAGUGACUAUUUUGAUUGUUUCCCUUUAAUAAAUGGUUCAUUACAGUAAUAUAUUAAAUUUAUUCUUAUUUUGUAUUAUUUUUCACAUGUGUAAUAUUCUGAUUAUUUUUUAAUGUUUAAUGUACUAACGUUUAAAUUUAUUCCAUCAUAGCCCAAGAAAAAUAAUAAGAAAUAGACGAUAAGAUUGAAGUAAUAUUUUUUCCAAAAUAACAAGCUUGCAUUCAUGCAUGAGAAUUAUUCAUCACCAUGUGCUAAAGACUUGGACUGUUUGUCAAAGUUUUCUUCAGAAAAAUCAUAUAAUUUAUAAUGGAAGUAUAAGCAGAGUCAGACCAACCAAAGAAGAAUCAUGAUAUCAUCUUUUUUUAUUGCCCAGUAUUUAUUUAGCAAAUAUUGACCGUAAUAUUGUCAUGGUCAGACCAUAUUAUUUUUGCACAAGUGACGCACGAAUAUUCAGUGUAGACUUGCUCAAAACAGUAGGAAAUGAUGAACAAGGUCAUUUCGUAGAAAUUGCAGUCAAUGCUCAUAUUUUGGCUUAAUCCAGCUGGAGUUUAGGUAAAAAUUGAUUCAAAAUUGGAUAACUAUAUAUAUAAUAUUGAUAUCAUAAAUAAGUUAUUUUAAUCCAAGUCAGUUCAAUCCAUGAAUACCUUUAAUAUGUAUACAUGAUAUGAUAUGUGAAAAAUGAGCUCAACUCAUGAAUAUUUCUCAUAUGUAUGCAUGCUUGAUGCAUGAUAUGUGGAAAAUAACUUAACUUGUUGUAUAGGUUUUGUACGGAGUAUGGACGGCAUUUAUAAGUUCAUUUUUGGAACUUGUAUUUUAGAGUGCAGUUGAGAACGUAAAUAAGUUUGUUGAAGUUUUCAGGGGGAGAAUUUAGAGGUGAGUAAUCUAGAUCUUUUGGUACAAAGUGAGGUUGCUCUAGCAGGAUGUGAUAAGACUUGAAUCAUUUGGUGUAUUGGGUUAAAAGAUAGUGGAUUUACUUACUAAGUUAGGCUUCACAAAUAAAGUAAAACUAAACUACGUAAACAACCUUUUGUGUUCUUGUUUUGUUGUUUUUGUCACAAUGCUACCUUCAAUUGGCAUAUCGCAAUUGAAGAAGCAAAAGUUUGUCUGGAAGAAGAAAGAUCCUAAGUGCUUGAUGUACAGUGUUUCGGUAAUGGUUGCUUUCAUCACAUGAUAGGUAAUCAUGCAUACUUUUCUAAUUUUGGAGAUCAUCAUAAGGGUCUAGUCACAUUUGGUGAUGGUAAGAAAUGUCAUAUCCAUGGAAACGGAACACUUAAUGUCCUUGGAAUGCUAAAGUUGAAGAAUGUGUUGAAAGGUCAUAUUGUUAAUGACUUGAAAGCUAAUUUGGUGAGCAUUAUCUAAAUGUGUGACUAAGGCAUGAUUAUCAAUUUCACCAAAGACAAGUAUCUGGUUUCAUCAAAGUCUUAUGAGAAGACUAAUGUUUCUAACUUAGAGUUGUGGCAUGAGAAACUUAGCCACAAUCAUUACAAAGGGCUCCGAAGAUUGGUUUGAUAUGUUGCUGGAAUAGGCAACCCAAAACUAGGUGGUGUCAUUCCUAAAGUCCGUUAUGGAUGCUUGAAAGUUAGAGAGGAUCACAUGGAGAAUCAUCAAAGGUUGUCACAUAUCCAAAUUAUUGCAUCUCUCAAGUUACUACACAUAGAUCUCAUUGGACCUAUGUGAAUCGAGAGCAUUGGAGUAAACCGUUAUGUCCUAGUCUAUGUAGAGGACUUUUCAAGGUACACAUGGGUGAGAUUUUUUAGAGAAUUCUAACACAUCUAAAGAAUUCAGGAAACUAUGCAGAAGAUUUUGUCAAUUUUUAUGACGAGGAAAUGAUCAAACUAAGGCACCGCAAUAUAAUGGAGUUAUGGGACACAAGAACCGUACCAUAUAGGAGAUGGCAUGAGUGUUGCUUAACAACAAAAGAGUUACUCAUAAGUUUUAAGUUGAGGCAGUGAACAUUGCAACCUAUAUCUUUAACAAAGUUCUUACUAGGCGAAAAACUCACAUGACACUUUGUAAGAUGUGAAAUGGGAGGAAGCCAAAUGUCAAGUAUUUCCAUGUGUUUAGAAGUACCUUGAUAGGUGUCGAAUCCACCAAAAAUGAAAUCCUACCCCUAAACAGGAUAUAAAUUAGAAGUUUAAGGAGUAAGGUCGAUCCCACAAGGACUAAUUUAUAUGAACUUGUAGUUUGUUAUAACCAGGACGUAUCGUAAGCAGUUUUGUGCCCAUGAUUUAUGCUAACCUAUACGAAAUAGAAAGAAGGAUUAAAUAUGAAUGUAACUAAAUGUCAAAAAUUAAAUAAUAAUAAUGCAAUAGAAAUAAUCAAAUCAGAAUUAAAAUUGAAUAACCUAAUAAGAUGGAUUUUGACUCUGGCUUUGGAUUGAUCCCAAACAAUGGAUUUUUUCCUCCAAUUGAUAAGUCGGGUAUAGUGACCAAGGAACAACCUCAAAUACCAACCCUUUCGUAUGUAAAUUAACUGCGGGAACAACUCUAAGUUAACCCGUACCAGGUAAAUAACACUGAAAGCAACUUCCAUGAUUUCAUUCCUUGACAACCUCGCGAACUAGAGGGACUCAGCUCAAAUUGACAGCCUCAAUUGCAUGGGUCCACACGCCUACUACCUUUUCCAUCUUUGAUUUUCCAAGUUCUUUUGAAGCAAAAUCCAAGGUUUGUUUGAGCCACAGAGCAUCUUGAAAGAGAAGUUGCUAAGUUGAAAUUCUCUCCAAAAUGGCUCGAGGGAAAACAUGAAUCAAUAGCCCCAACUGAUCUAACUGAAGGAGAAGAAAAAGUUGAAUCUGACCUUGAAACUGUAGCAAUUGCUCCUAUAGUGACUAUUUCAGCAGGUCUUGUGAGCAACCUAGCAGGAUUCAAUCAAAGGAUGGUUAGCAUUUUACUGCUUCUAUUGACUCUCAAAAUUGAUUCAUCUCCAAACUUCGAACUGAAAUCCAAGUCAUUCAACAGAUUCGAGAUCAAGAAAUUGCUUUCCGCAAUGAUUUAUUAACUCAUUCCGAACAAUAAUGUUUGACAUAUUUUUAAAAAAAAGGGAAGUAAAGAGGAAGGAGAUGAUGGCUAAGAUGGUGGCAAGUUGAUUGCUCCUACUAAUGGGAGUUUAUUUUACUUUUGGUUAUUACAAGCUUCAUUUCAUUUUGGGUAUUUCUUUUGAAAUAUUUGUAAUGAUGAACUUUUCUAAUGGAUGGAUGGAUUUUAUUUUGGCGUACAAACUCUUAUCUUCAUCUUACUUAGAUAUAAUUUUAGUAUUUAGAUUGUUGAUACAAAUACUUAAAAGGCAUUAAUGGUUGAUUUACUUGAUUAUGUUUUAAGUUAAGUGUGACGGAUAAGGGGAUUGUACUAAGGGGAAGCAUUUUUUGUUACUGUUGAUAAGCUUCCUAAUUUGAAUUGGUUUUGUUCAAAAAAUUGUAGAAGCAAGUUUCAAAAGUGGCCAGCAAAGUGCCAACGGUAGUGGCCACUAUAGAUAGCAUUGCAAUAGACUCUAUUACUAGCCAUGUUUAGAGUUAGCUUGAAAACGAUGAUGAUAUUAUGAAAAUAUGAAAGUCCAUAUUAUAUUAGUUUUUAUUAUUUAUUGCAUUUUGCUAGUUUAGCUGGUGACACGUUCAAUAAAUAUAAUUUUAAAGGUAUUUUUGUUUUUUUAACUGCAAACUGUUUGGGCAAUAAAUUUAUUUCAAAAGUUGCUUUCAAAUGCUUUAAAAGUUACGGUGUAGUUUACACUAUUCUCAGGUUACAUGGCCUGAAUUUGUCUUUAAAAGAAAGGAAAGAACAAAAUACAAAAUGAAUAAAGAAAAAUCUUUCUGUUCUGUAUAAUCUAUCUACUCCCAUUUACCCGUAGGGUGGCGUUCUUCCGUUCAAUUUCAAUGGCAUUGAUAGAGGGCAGCUUCCACAAGAUGAGUUUAAUCAUCGCCAACUAAUCGUGAAUAACCAAUAUUAAUAAAUAAUCUCCAUUCUUCUCAACCGCCAUAACUGCUCCAUCAACCUGCUAUGUCGGGUGAAAUGGGAACGUACACCUGAGCUACACAAAGGGAUAUAUCUCCUUAGUAAGUUUCUACCAUGGGAGAUUGCCACUUUACCCCCAAAUAUAAGGCCAUCAUUACGUUUUCUCUAUGAAGAAGCCUUGGACACAUCCUUACUUGACCUAUUGUACUUCAUAUGGCUCUUGACUAGUUGCCCUGCUGCAAGUGCUGACAUGAGUGACAGCUCCCCGGCAAGGACAGCACCUGCUACAAUGGUUGCCAGCAUUCUAGAGUUUGCUCCUGGUGUCUCUUUGCUUGCACCCUUCACUCCAAGUAAGUUCAAACAGGCUGACUGAGAUGCAAGCUGUGUUCCACCACCAACGGUACCAACCUAAAAGAUACAGCAACAGAUAUAAUUAGGGGGAUUCAUAAAUACCCAGAUUCUGUUUUGGUAAUGAAAAUCCUUGUGAUGGAUAAUCAGACAGCAACAUAAUCAAUUACCUCGAUGGAAGGCAUUGUGACAGAGAUGUGGAGGUCCUUGCCCUCGUUAACAGCUUCCAUCAUAGUGAUGCAAUGAGAGCUCUCAACAUUUUGAGCCGGAUCUUGGCCCGUAGCUAUGUAGAUUGCAGUGACGAUGUUACUGGCGUGAGCAUUGAAUCCACCCAGAGCUCCAGCCAUAGCUGAUCCAGUAAGGUUCUUGAGCAUGUUAAGCUCAACGAGAGAUUCCACACUUGUCUUCAAGACCUUCCUAACCACAUCACCCUUAAUGAUGGCUUCGCAAACAACAGAUUUGCCUCGUCCUUCAAUCCAAUUUACAGCCGCUGGUUUUUUGUCGGAACAAAAGUUUCCUAUAUGGACAAAUUCAUAAAUUUCAGUAAUCCUAUAUAGAACAGUAAAAACAUAGAACACAAUUACAAGUCUAUGGAAAAGUGAAACUCACCAGAGAUGCCAAUGACAUCCAUGUCAGGGAAAUCAGUUUGAAGGAAAUCCAAAACAUUUUGGACUCCCUUGGAAACCAUGUUCAUCCCCAUAGCAUCACCUGUACUGCAAGUGAAUCUAAUAUACAGAUUCUUUCCAGCAAUUGCACAUUUGAUACCUUGGAGCCUGCCAAACCUACUUGAUCUGCAACCACCAAAAAGUCAAAAUUUUCAAUAUUAGCUUGAAUUUUAAAUCCUUCAAUAUGGAGUUCUAGAAAUAUCAACACAAACCUGUUGAAAACAACAGACAAGGUCUCGAAAUUAUCAGGGUCCUCCAAAUACAACUUCAAAUCAGCUGCCCUUUUCGCAGUACCGAACCUUACACAUGGAGCUCUUGUCAUACCAUCUUUCAAUAGAACACUUGUAGCUCCACCAGACAAAUGAAUAGCCUUACAGCCCCUAUUAGUGCUAGCCACCAAGCACCCUUCCGUGGUUGCCAUAGGAACCGAGUACUCUCUUCCAUUAACCAACAAAGGCCCGGAAAUUCCAACGGGAAUUUGCACGUAGCCAACCGGCAUCUCACAACACUGCCCUAAAAUCGACUCGUAAUCAAACCCAUCCAAGGGCAAUCCAGAUAACGACUUCCCUGUUAAUCUUUGCAACGCUUCCCGCCUGAUUGCGGCCGCCCUCUUGCAAUCACCCAAUUUCGAUUCCAAGGAAUACGAAGGGGUUGUACCAGCCACUACAGAUUUAAUUAUUUCUUCAUCUUCCUCCGUUAGUACCGUCACAGGCUUUUCAUCGAACACCUUCUGAACGGUCACGAUUGGUGCCGCAGGAGGCAGAGGUGGAAGCGAACAAUCGAGAGCUUGCCCGCAAGGGACCUUACGGGCAUCUUCCUUUGCAAGCAGAACUUCAUCAUCCUCUUCCUCGUCCUCGGCAAUCCAAACGUCAGGCGAUGGUUGGAAAACCAAAGAUUGAACGAAGUCAAUCCCAAAGAAACCCAAAAGGUAAAUAAAGGACGCUAAAAAUGAGAGAAUGGCGAUGAUCUCGGAAAAGGUGACGACAUGGAGAGGUGUGGAGGUACGGAUCUUCUCACGCCAACGGGAAAGAAGAAAAUAAACCACCGAGAAGAAGAGGGUGAAGAACAGGGCAUUCGUUAGGUGCAAGGGAAGCGGCAAUGCGUCGGAGGCUUUACCGUGAUCUUCCUCUAAAGGAAUCUUCUUCGAUGGCUUGAGAGAUUGAACAGGUUUAGUCGAAUACAGCCGAGGAGCCUCCAUAUUAGGUGUCGACGGCGGCAGAAGCCCGGCAGUGGAGAAGAAGAAUAGAAGAGGAAUGGAAGUGAGAGAGGAUUUCAGUUAGUUUUACGAUUAUGGGGGAAGGUGGAGUUUGAGAUGCUGGAGUUUAGGGAGGGAAGGGGAGUAUUUAUAGGAUAGAGAGUAAAGUGUAGAGAGAGCGUGAGGAAAAAGGCGCGUGAAUUGAAGUGUUUGGCACUUGUUAGUGCGGAGCUUUACCAAGUGAAGAGUCAAUGGAAGAAUUUCAAGGGAUGUGUUUGGAAGCGUGCGUGCGUGCGUGCAGUGCAUGUGCAUGGUGGGGCAUUGCAUAAUCCUUUCAUUUGUUCUUUUCUCCUGCCACAUUUGGAGAAAAUGCUGAUUUUAAAAAAAUAUUCAGGAAAAUAUUUUUUUUCCAAUAUUUAAAAAAAUAAGUUGAUUUUGAAAAAAAUAAUAAAGCAUAUUUUGCAGAAAUUGUUUUUUUGCUGAAAAAGCUCGUAGGAUUAGUUUCUACUUUUUUAAUACAUUAGCUCAUUUGGUUAGAUGAUUAAAUGUUAAUUAUUUUGUCUUUUAAGUCUCGAGUUUGAUUCUUCUCUUACUCACAUUUGUAUUCUUAUUUCAAGUCGUUUCAAGCUUUGCUUUUAUUUUUAAUUAUGGUUUUUAACACAUUAACUCCUUUUGUUAGAUUGUUAAAUAAUAGUGAUUUUUUUUGUGAAAGAAAGGAAACAAUACAAGCUAAAUCCUCAAAGGACGGUCCACAAACAAUCUUAAGCCUAGACUUCUAAUGCAAACAAUCUUGGCUAGGCUAUCCGCAAUUAGAUUAUUUCCCUUGGGAACAUGCUGAAUUUUCCACUGCUCUAGCUUUUUAAGCGUCUGAUGAAUUCUCCUAAUAAUGGUAGAAUUGGAGAUACCCGUAUCAUCUUCCAUGAUAUCUUUAAUAGCUUCAAUACUAUCAGUUUGAAUAAGGACAUUUUGGAAACACCUAUCUGCCAUAAGAUUCAGCCCAUCCAAAAACCCCCAGAGCUCUGCCUCCAACACUGAACAAUUACCCAAAUAUCUCGCGAACCCUAUAAUUCACUCUCCCUUGUAAUCUCUCACGCAACCUUCCGCAGCUGCAAAGCCCUCGUUAAUCCUAACUGAACCAUCAGUGUUCAAAUAAACCCAACUGUAGGAGAUAUGGCAAUUAGGUAGAGUUCUUUGGGCUUCAAACUUUGAGAUCGAGGAAACAGAGGAAUACUAUUUAACCCAACUAAACUAGAUUUUAAUAAUUUCCUCAACACUCCACGAAAUUCUUUGGAAAACAAAUAUGUUGCGACUCUUCCAAAUACGCCACGUAAUAAUUCCAAAAAGGUAGGACCAAUCGAUUUCCCCUGUCGAAGAAGUCAACUGGUUCUGCAAAUUAGUCGCCGUCCAAUCAAAUAAAGAGCCUGAGUAAAAACUAGAAAAAGCUUGUUGAGGAAUGAUUUUAUCCCAAACUCCUUUGGCUGCAGGAUAAUCUCGGAGUAUAUGCAUCACAUCCUCCAAAACAUGACUACAAAUACUGCAAGUGUUGUUACUCCCACAACCUCGUCUUACUCUUUCAACAUUUGUAAGCAGCUUUUGCUUUAAGACAAGCCAAAUAAAGAAGCGGAUCCGAUAAGGGCCUUUAAAUUUCCAAGGUAUCCUCCAAAACGCUUCCUUGGGAUUCAAAGUGUCUUCACAAUGGGAUUCAAAGUGUCUUCACAAACCUUCCUAUAUGCACUCUUGAGAGAGAGAAGGUGUCAGUCGAGGUGGCUCCCCAAAUAAGUCCUAGCUUCGAUUUCUCUUUUAAGCAUAUUUGUAUUUUUUUUUCACAUUGUUUCAAAUUUUUCUUAAUUCAUCUUUUUAAUUAAUAAUUCUUUUAUUUAUAAAAUUAAAUAAUUAUUUUAAAUUAUCUAAUAAAAAAUAUAUUCUGAUAAAAAUGAUAUUUUUCAUUAUGUUAAAUAUAAUUUAUUUUUUAAAACAUCAACUUUUUGUUAUAUUUUUCUUUAUGUAAAAUAUAUAGGUUCUCCAUGUGGAUAUGGUGAUUUCUAAUAUUAUAAAAUCAAAUAAUUAUUUCAAAUAUCAUUAUUAUUUUUAUACGUAAAAUAUUUUAAAUAUCAUUAUUUUUUCAUGUACAUUGUAGGUAUGAUAUUUCAAAUAUUUUUAUACAUGAAAUAUUUCAAUUAAUUAUUUGAAAUUACAUUAUGUUUAUAUGUGAAAUAUUUCAAUUAAUCAUUUCAAAUUACAUUAUGUUUAUAUGUGAAAUAUUUCAAUUAAUUAUUUCAAAUUACAUUAUGUUUAUAUGUUAAAUAUUUCAAAAAGACGUACAAAAAUAUAUAAUACUAAAAUUUAAUACGUUCAUGAUAUGGAUUGAAAAUAAAAUUACACAUAAUAUUUAUAUUUAUUAAAGAUAAUGAUAUUUGAAAAUGAUUAUUUUAUUUUUAAAUAAAAUAAUUAUUAAUUAAAAAGAUAAAAAAAACUUGAAAACAAUAUAUUUAUUAAUUAAAAAAUUUAAAAGAAAACUUGAAACAACAUGAAAUAAAAAAAAGUACAAAUUUGCUUAGAAUAGGAAUCAAACCUAGGACUCAAUGAUAAAAUCACUAUUAUUUAACCAUAUAACCAAAGAAAUUAAUGUGAGUAGGAGAAGAAUCUAACCCGAGACUCAAGGACAAAACCAUUAAUAUUUAACUAUCUGACUAAAGGAAUUGAUAUAUUAAAAGAGUUAGAAAACACGCACUAUAAAAUGCAUUAUUUUAUUUGUCUCUCCAAAUUUAAAACCUUCUAUCAGUCAGCUGCUAUUUUGAUGUUUUCUGUCACUUAUUUAGCAUUAUUCUGCCUUUUACUUAUUCCUAAUUUUGGGUUGUUUUUCAUUAAUUAAUUAAUUAAUUAGAGAUCAUAUUAUGAAUGUAUUUAAUAUUUAUGGAAGUAAUGUUAAAAAGAAAUCUGGAGGUUUUUCUUUUUGCUCAUGAUUAAUUGGAUAAGUUUACAUUUUUACAAAAAAAAAAUAUUAAGACAAAGUCAGAGUGAAAAAAUAAUUAAGCAAGAAAAAUUCAGAAAAAUAAAUUGAUUCUUCAAUUAAAAAAAUGUAAAGCUUUAUUUGUUUUAUUAUUGAAAAAAAAAGGUCAUUCCCAAUUACUAUCAUUAAUAGUCAAAUUAUUAUUAUUUUUUUUGCAUGUUUAUUUCAUGUUAUAUUUUAACAAAAUAAAAGAAAUAUAUACUUUUUUUUAUAAAGAUUUAUUAAAUUACAGUCCAAAUUUGACAUUUAUAAUAUUAAAUAAAAUCUAAUCCACAUUUGACUCCUUAAUUAUCACGUUUCUUCCUUCCUUAAUUUUCAGUCAGUGAAUCACAUUAAAUUCAAAAUAGGAUGCAUAAUUAUUUAUUAUAUAUACAAGUGAUUGCAUAUAAUAUUAGUUCAUGCAGUCACCAGUAGUUGAAUAUUAACAUUUACAACUAUUUCCCGAGAAAAUGUAUGUGUUUUGUAUUAUAUAUAUAAGUUGGUAAUGCUGAUUGAGAAAAGACUUUUAAGAGGCUUUAAUAUCAUUGAGUUAUUAAGGUUAAGCCACUUGCUCGACUUAGUUUGUGUUUACUACAUGUAUUGUGUGUUUGGCUGUUGCAGAGUAUCCUCAGUGGAGGAGAAAAAUCAUCUGCUAUUUUUUAAAAUUCAUAUUACUAUUUUACUAUUUUACCUUUUUAAAGUAGAUCAUUUUUAUUUUUUUUAGUGUUUAAUGUACCUAGACGAUAAGAUUGAAGUAAUUUCUUUUUCCAAAAUAAUAAGCAUGCAUGAGAAUUGUUCAUCGCCAUGUGCUAAAGACUUGGACUGUUUGUCAAAGUUCUCUUCAAAGAAAUCAUAUAACUCACAAUGAAAGUUUAUAUAUAUAUAUAUAUAUAUAAUAUAAGNNNNNNNNNNNNNNNNNNNNNNNNNNNNNNNNNNNNNNNNNNNNNNNNNNNNNNNNNNNNNNNNNNNNNNNNNNNNNNNNNNNNNNNNNNNNNNNNNNNNAAAUUGGUAUCUCGUUAAACGCGCGUUGUCUUGCUUUUCAAAAAUACAAGUUCAAUUUAAUAGUUAAUCGCGAUCCGAUCAAAAUACAAAUUUUUUUUAAACACGAAGAUUUUUGAAACAAUUUUUUGAAAAUACGAUUUUUUUUAAAAACACGAGAAUUUUAGAGACACGAAAAUUCUUAAAAACACGAAUAUUUUUGAAAACACGACAAAUUUUUGAAAACAAUAUUUUUUUGAAACGCGAAAAUUUUUGAAACACGAGAAUUUUUUAGAAAACAGGAAAAAAAUAAUUUUUUUUGAUCAUCGGAAUUUUUGAGAACACGAAAAUUUUUGAAACACCGGGAUUUUUGAAAACACGAGGAUUUUUGAAACACGAAAAUUUUAAAAACACGAAAAUUUUUAAACAGGGGAAUUUUUUCGAAAACACGAAAUUUUUUGAAUAUUUACAAUUUUUAAAAGGACGUAUCGUAUUUAACAUAAACCGGUGAUAUUCACCCAACAUAGCGAUGAAAUCAUCGAUUUAAUGUUAAAUCGAUUCGUUGCCUUAUUUAUUAAAAUUAAAUUAAAUUAAAUUAAAAACAUAAAUACAAAAAAUAUAAAAGUGCAUAAAAAUACCAAUAAUAUUAAAACGAAAUGACAUAAAAAUACAUGCAUUAAAUUAAAAAUGAAAUAAAUAAAAUUACCGAAAAUGUCUGAAAUACGAGCUUCGCCGAACGGGUUACACAAAUUAAAACCCGUUUUUUCUUUUUUUCUUCUUUUAUCUUCCUUUUUCCUCUCUUUUUCUUUUUUUUUCUGGACUGGGCUGGCCUGUUGGGCUGCUGCUAGGCCUGGGGGCUGCUGCUGCACUGGGCCUGGGGGCCUGCUGCUGCGCUGGGCCUGCAUUUGGGCUGCUUCUUUCUUUUUCUUUUUUUCUGCUUCUUUCUUUCUUUCUUUUUUCUGCUGCUUCUUUUUCUGUUUUGGUUUUUUUUUUUGGGCUGGCCUGCUACUGCUGUUGGGUUGUUGGGUGCUGUGGGUCGGGUCAAUUUUGCGGGUCGGGUCGGCCCGAUUUAAAAUAAUUUUUUUCUUUUUUUCUUUUUUUCUUCUUUCUUCUUCCUCUUUUUUUCUUCUUUCUUUCUUCUUCUUUCUUUCUCUUUUUCUUCCUUUCUUUCUUCCCCGAUCAGGCCCCCCUUCGGGUUGCUUUCGUCGACGGCGACCUACUUCCCACCGACGGCCGACGGUGGCGCUCACGGUGGUCUUCCCUUUCCCCUUUUUUCUCUUUUUCUUUCUUUUUUUUUUCUUUUUGCUUGCUUUGCUUUUUUUUCUUUUUUUCUUGCCUCUUGGUUGUCUUGCUAGGUAUCGGGGCGGCGCGAGUGCGGUGGCGGAUGCGGUGGCGCGGACACGACGGCGGUGGUGCCCCUUUUUGCUGUUGUUUUUGCUCUCCUUUUUUUUUUGCUCAAAAUUUGUUUUUUUUUUUCCUUUGCUUCCUUGCUUCCCCCUUUUUCUUCCUUGCUUUGGGGGUUUUAAAACCCAUUUUAUUUUGAUGUUCUCUUCUUUUUUUGCAGGUUGCAGGUGGGCUAGGGAGGGCUUAGGUCGGCCGCCGCGCGUUGCAGGUGCAACUUGUGUCAGUGGCAGCCAGAGGGACCAAAAUGUAGUGGCAGCAAAACUUUUGGGGCCGAAACAUAAUUUUGAGAAAGUUCAAGGGUCCAAAUGUAAUUUUAAGAAAGUUUAAGGGUCAAAAUGUAAUUUAGAAAAGUUUAGGGGUUGAACUGUAAUUUUGAGAAAGUUUAGGGGUUAAAAUGCAAUUUUAAAAAAGUUUAGGGGUCAAAAUGCAAAAAAAUUAAAAAAUUUAAUUUUAAUUUUUUUUAACGAAAGUUAUUCCCGGACAAAAUUCAGUGAUUACAGCUGCCCCUCUUUGCUCAUCGCUGUGAAACAGGGAUAGAGCAAAGACUUAAAAGCACUGAAUUUUGUUCGAUCAUCCAAAAUUUUUCUUUUUAUUUGAAAAGCAGAAAUCGAGAAUAGCUCAGCGUGAAACCCGAGGCCCAACUCACCUCUAGCAAUAUGAGUUGAUUUUUUUGAAAAGCAAGAAUUGAAAAAUACCUCGACGUGACUCGAGGCUCAACUCACCUCUCGCAAUAUGAGUUGAUUUUGGAAAAAUAGAAAUUGAAAAACACCUCGACGUGACUCGAGGCUCAACUCACCUCUGGCAAUAUAAGUUGAUUUUUGAAAAACAGAAAUUUAAAAUACCUCAGCGAGAGACCCGAGGCUCAACUCACCUCUCGUAAUAUGAGUUGAUUUUUUGAAAAAAUAGAAAUUAAAAAAAAUACCUCAGCGUGACUCGAGGCUCAACUCACCUCUGUAUUAUGAGUUGAUUUUUUGAAAAAAGCAGAAAUUAAAAAAAUACCUCAGCGUGACCCGAGGCUCAACUCACCUCUGUAUUAUGAGUUGAUUUUUUGAAAAAGCAGAAAUUUAAAAAAUACCUCAGCGUGACCCGAGGCUCAACUCACCUCUGUAUUAUGAGUUGAUUUUUUGAAAAAAGCAGAAAUUAAAAAAAAUACCUCAGCGUGACCCAAGGCUCAACUCACCUCUGUAUUAUGAGUUGAUUUUUUGAAAAAAGCAGAAAUUUAAAAAAUAACUCAGCGUAACCCGAGGCUCAACUCACCUUUGUAUUAUGAGUUGAUUUUUUGAAAAAAGCAGAAAUUAAAAAAAAUACCUCAGCGUGACCCGAGGCUCAACUCACCUCUGUAUUAUGAGUUGAUUUUUUGAAAAAAAAAUAGAAUUUUAAAAAAUAUUUCUUGAAAGAAACAGGGUUUCAAAAAACAUCUGGUAAAGCUAAAAGCCUUCUUCUUCAUUGAUUCUGUGCAGUUUUCUCCCAGUAUUCCUUGCUCUACUGGUAUACCUGUAUAUGUUAUUUAUGAUGUUAUUAUGAUAUGCACAUGUUUGUCCUAAAUGCUUUUGUGUCUACAUGAUCAUGCAAUGCACCCUGGGCUAUUUGUCACGUGCCCCACUUUUGAUUUUUGUGAGGGUCCGCAUUUAUUUCCUCAAUUCUUGACUUUUCUCUCCAGUUUUGUACUCAUCCUCAAGUUUGGUGAGUAACCCACAUUUCUUCGUAUAUCACCCUCUUGCCCCCUGUUGAACUUUUUCUUGCUUUAGGGUCCUUGUAUUUAUCAAGUUCUCAUCCAGGUAAUGCUCAACAUUCCCUUUGUUUAGAGUAUGUCAUCUUACUAUUUAUCAUUUAAAUGAAUCAAACACGAGAUGCAUACAAAAGACAAAGUAGGCAUGAAAGAAAUACCUCACAUUCAUUUUUUUAAAAGCAACAAUCGAAGGAAAUUGAUAAGGAAAGUUUAACAAAUAAAUUGUCAUAAAGAAAAGAAAGCGAGUUCAAUGGCCAGAAAUGCUCUAGAUAUCCAAUGCAUGAACUUUCCAAGUUUCUUCAUCCUGGAUCUUUUCGAGCACGGCUUCUUGUGUAGAAGAUUUUGAGCUUCUGAGAAUGCUUCAAAUAUUGUAACCUCGCCAUUCGACUCUCCGUUCAAGCCAAUUGGCUUCUUCAAGCCCGAGCCCACUUUAUUAGGACGCCCUUUUGGGUUUUCAUCCUAAUCCUUUUGUUUAUCAAGACGCCCUUUUCGGGUUUUCAUCUUGAUUUUUCUUUUUUUGUUUUGUUUUUGUUUUGUUCCUUUGUUUUGUUAUUUUUUUGUUUUUUUUUUGUCUCUCUUUUUUUUAGGCAUAAUAUUUCUUCACAGAAUCUGAGUUCACUGGAUUAGGUAAUUCUUUCCCGUCCAUCUCAGUGAAAAUCAGAGCCCCUCCUGAGAAUGCCCUUUUUACAACGUAUGGCCCUUCCCAAUUUGGUGACCAUUUUCCUCGAAAGUCCUUCUGAAUCGAGAGAAUCUUUCUCAGUAUGAGCUCUCAUUCGCAAAAUUCUCUUGGCCGCACCUUUUUAUCAUGGGCCGUAAUCAUUCUCUUCUGGUACAUAUGUCCAUGACAAAUUGCCUUCAAGCGUUUCCCUUUAAUAAGGUUUAGCUGAUCAUAUCGAGCUCGAACCCACUCUGAUUCCUCUAACCUUGUCUCCAUCAAGACGCGCAGGGAUGGGAUCUCUACUUCGAUAGGCAAAACGGCUUUCAUUCCAUAGACCAGAGAAAAAGGAGUUGCCCCUGUAGACAUCCGUACAGAGGUGCGAUAUACGUACAAAGCGAAUGGUAGCUUCUCGUGCCAGUCUUUAUAUGUCUCAGUCAUCUUCCCGAGAAUCCUCUUAAUGUUCUUAUUAGCCGUUUUUACUGCUUCGUUCAUCUUUGGGCGAUAGGGCGAAGAAUUAUGAUGCUUUAUCUGAAAUUGCUCACAUACUUCUUUCAUCAUCUUGUUGUUCAAAUUUAAAGCAUUAUCUGAAAUGAUUCUUUCAGGCAGACCAUAUCGACAUAUGAUCUCAUUUUUUAAGAACCUACAGACCGCAGCCUUUGUCACAUUAGCAAAUGAAGUGGCUUCUACCCAUUUUGUGAUGUAGUCUAUAACCACAAAGAUGAAUCGAUGUCCAUUGGAAGCUUUCGGGGAAAUUGGCCAUAUAACAUCCAUGCCCCACAUAGAAAAAGGCCACGGAGAAGUAAUGACAUGAAGGGGCGAUGGAGCUGCAUGAAUUUUAUCACCAUAAAUUUGACAUUUGUGGCACUUUCGUGUUUAGCCAAUGCAAUCGCUUUCCAUCGUCAGUCAGUAAUAACCAAGUCUCAUAAUCUGCCUGGCCAUAGUGAAACCACUGGCAUGCAUUCCAAAAAUUUCUUCAUGAACCUCUUCAAGUAUCUUUCUAGCUUCAACAGCGUCCACGCACCUAAUGAGCACUUGAUCUUUUCCUUUUUUGUAUAGAAUAUCCCCAUCAAGAAUAAAUCCAACCGUUAUUAUUCUGAUUGUUCUGUUGUCAUUCUCGUUUGCCUGCUCGGGGUACCUUUGAUUCUUGAUAUACUCCAAGAUAUCAUGGAACCAUGGUCGUCCAUCUGACUCCUCCUCAAUACUAAAACAGUGUUCGAGGGUCUCAUAUAUACUCAUUUGGAUGGGCAUUAUCUCAGUUUCUCUGUUUGCUUUGAACAUCGAAGCCAAGGUGGCUAGGGCAUCAGCCAAUUGGUUCUCCUCUCGUGGAAAGUAGUUAAAAGUCACUUCUUUGAAUUCUUUGACCAAUUUCGCAACAAGAUCGUGGUACUUGACUAAUUUUGGAUCUCUCACUUCCCAAUCCCCACGAAUUUGAUAAAUGACUAAUGCUGAGUCCCCGUGCACUUCUAAGAUUUUGAUUUUCCUCUCGAUAGCUGCACGAAGCCCUAUGAUGCAAGCUUCAUAUUCCGCUAUAUUAUUGGUACAGAAGAAGUUCAAUCUGGCAGUGAGCGGGUAAUGAUCUCCCUCCGGCGAUACUAAGACUGCUCCAAUCCCAUGCCCCAAUACAUUUGAUGCACCAUCAAAGCUCAUUUUCCAUGAUUUCUCUCUUGAUGACUCACCCUCUUUUUCUGAAAUGCAAAUCAAGUCUUCAUCUGGGAAAUCAAAUCUCAAAGGCUCGUAUUCUUCCGCUGUUCGACUUGCCAAGAAGUCAGCUAUCGCACUUCCCUUUAUCGAUUUUUGGCUCAUAUACACGAUGUCAUACUCAGUCAGUAAGAUCUGCCAUCGUGCUAUUCUUCCUGAGAGUGCAGGUGACUCCAUCAUGUACUUUAUUGGAUCCAGUUUUGAAAUUAACCACGUCGUAUGAUAUAACAUGUAUUGUCUGAGCCUUCGAACCGUUCAAAUCAAUGCGCGACAAAACUUCUCAAUUGAAGGGUACUUUACCUCAUAUUCUGUGAACAUUUUGUUGAGGUAGUAAAUCACUUUUUCUCUUUUCCCCGACUCAUCAUGUUGUCCCAGUACGCAACCCAUUGAAUUCUCAAACACGGUCUGGUACAAUAUUAAGGGUUUUCCAGGGGUUGGCGGUACUAGUACCGGAGGAUUAGAUAGAUACUGUUUUAUCUUGUCGAAAGCCACUUGACAUUCCUCGUUCCAUUCUCCCGGAUUAUGUUUUUGAAGAAGUCAAAAAAUUGGAUCACACUGAUUGGUAAGUUGGGCAACGAAUCGAGCAAUGUAAUUCAACCUUCCUAAAAAUCCUCUGACUUCCUUUUGUGUACGCGGAGGUGGCAGUUCUUGUAUAGCUUUCAUAUUAUCUUGAUCAACUUCGAUACCUCUCUCACUGACAAUAAAACCUGACAGUUUUCCCGAGGUAGCCCCAAACGUACAUUUGGCUGGGUUAAGUUUCAACUGGAACUUUAUUAACCUUUCGAACAGCUUCUUGAGAUUCCCAACAUGCUCUUUUUCUCCCCGGGACUUGACAAUCAUAUCAUCGACGUAAACUUCUAUUUCUUUGUGCAUCAUAUCAUGAAAUAACGUCACCAUGGCUCUCUGAUAUGUUGCCCCAUCAUUCUUUAAUCCGAACGGCAUUACCUUGCAGCAAAAGGUCCCCCACAAUGUUAUGAAUGUAGUUUUCUCCAUGUCCUCGGGAGCCAUCUUUAUCUGAUUAUAACCUGAGAAGCCAUCCAUGAAAGAAAACAGAGAAUGUUUUGCCGUAUUAUCCACCAAAGUGUCGAUGUGUGGUAAAUGAAAGUUAUCCUUAGGGCUUGCUUGAUUCAGAUCACGAUAAUCCACGCACAUUCGCAACUUGCCAUCUUUCUUCGGCACUGGGACUAUAUUAGCUACCCAUUUUGGAUAUUUAGAGACUUGUAGGAAGCCAGCAUCAAUUUGUUUCUUGACUUCUUCUUUUAUCUUUAACAGCAUUUCGGGUCUCAUCCUUCUUAAUUUCUGCCGAACGGGCUUGCAUUCUGGUUUCAGUGGGAGCUUAUGAACCACUACAUCCUCAUUCAACCCUGGCAUGUCCUGAUACGACCAGGCGAAUACAUCUUUGUACUCACGGAGCAAGGCGAUCAAAUUCUGUUUGGUGUUAUCUGAAAUGGAAAUAUCAAUAUUCACUUCUUGUUUCUUUUCUUCACUUCCCAAGUUCACUGUCUCAACAGAUUCUUGAUGGGGUAGAAUCUGUUUCUUUUCUUGUUCAACCAUUCUCAAUAAGUCAGGAGGCAAGACACAAUUUUUAGCAUCUUCCUCGGCUUCAAAUUCUUCUAAACAAACAGCCUUCUCAAAAUCGAUUUCAGGACUUGUAACGGGAUUGUUCAUGCCAUGGAUAUCUGAGCACUUGAAAGGCGGAUAGAAAAGACUGCUAUAAGAGAGCAUCAAAGUAUUGGAAUCAACAAACACAAUGUUAUGGAAUGAGAUAUAUGGAGAGAAAGGAUAUGAAGCGAUGAGGGUAAUUAUGAAACUGAUAGAAAUAAAAAGAUCAUGACAAAAUGCAUCUUCAUUAAUGUUCAUUGAAAUGAUAAAGAGCAAACACAAGCUCUUACAAAAGGAAUCCCACUAUUUAGGGGCACACAAAAUAAAUGGAGAAGUAACAUUGGGCAUUACUCUGGAGAGGACUUAGAAACUACAAGAAGGUCCACAGCAGUCCAAUUGUUCAAAACAUAUCUUGGAAGACAGGGGUGUAUCAUUGAAACAUCCUCAAUUGUAUCACUCUCAUUGAAUUCAACAUUCAUAGCCCUAGCCCUUAAAUGUGUUCUAUAAGAAUGACGUGAUUCCAGACUUGUAGUAUCACAACUGUGGAUUUUGCGGUUCUGGCCUUAGUGAAUGAUUAGGGUGAUAUGUACAUGCAAUGAAUGAAUGAAUGAAUGACCAAUGGAUGCUAGUCAUGCGUAAAUAUGCAAAAAAAAUGGUGUUGAUUUCAAGAUAGCCCCAUAUUUUGGCAUUUCAUUUAUCAAAAGAGUCAAUUACAAAAUAUUUUGCCAACGAAGAUGACCCUAGUUCUUGAGUUUCACUGUUUCCAAAUCCUAGUCAAAUCUUCAGGGUUAUUCUGACGAGCAUUCGAAGUCGUCUUCUCGGAAAGAUCAGAGAUAUAUCUUUCCUUUAAAUUGUCCCUUUUACUUUCUCGGCCCUCAAAGACCAGUCUCUGACUACGACAUUUUUCUUGAUUACCUGUGUAAUUUGACUCCUUCAUCAGAAACCCGUUUUUGGCAACCAAUCUCUAAUCAACACCUUCCUAAUGAGAUAUCUACGAUGCAUGAUGAAAAAUAAAAUGAAGAACAAAUAACAUUGGUUAGAGAUCACAACAGAUAUAAACAGAAGGAAAAUAAAAAAUAAAUACUAUGGAAAAUUUAACAAAUUAAGCUAGUCAAUCAGCAAUUUGGUGGAACAGACCCACAUUUUUUUUUGCCCCAACAUGCUUUACAAAAACCUACCCCACAUACCAUCAGACAAUCUACCCGACCCAAUUUAUUAAAUAGACCCAAUUCAUUUGCAAAUAAGUGUAAAUGUAAAAGAAAUAAAAGGUAAGAGGCGUUUCUCCCGUGUACUUAUUUUGGUAACUAUCAAACGGACAGAGGUUCGGCAUGGCUCUAAUUGGGUGGCUCGUACGGUUCNNNNNNNNNNNNNNNNNNNNNNNNNNNNNNNNNNNNNNNNNNNNNNNNNNNNNNNNNNNNNNNNNNNNNNNNNNNNNNNNNNNNNNNNNNNNNNNNNNNNUCUUCUAAAGAAAUACAUAUAACUACACAAUAGAAGUUAAUAUAUAUAUAUAUAUAUAUAUAUAAGCAUAGUCAGGCCAACCAAUGUAGAAAAAAACUAACAUGAUAUCAUCUUUUCUUAUUGCCCAGUAUUUAUUUAGCAAAUAUUGACUGUAACAUUGUCAUGAUUAUUUUUGGACAAGAACAAGGUCAUUUCCACACAGGUAGAAGUGCAGUCCAUGCUCAUAGCUUACAGAAAAAAAAAAUAUUUCAGUAAAGAUUAUGUAGCGACCUAAAAAUUUGGGGUGAGCGCUAAUCGAAAUGAUUGUUGAAAAUUUGAAGACGGUGUUUCGAUUUUAUUUGAAAAAGGAGUCGCCACCGAUCUUUUUUCCUAGGUGUGAUCGGACACCUAAUAAAUUCUCUUUUAGAAGAAGAAUUUAUUUUUUUAAUUUUUCUAAAAAAGAGGUAAUUUUAGGUCUACGUGAAAAUCCAGAGAAAAUUAGGGUUCGGGAGUCGGUUACACGCGAGGAAGGUAUUAGCACCCUCGCGACGCCCAAAAUUGGUAUCUCGUUAAACGCGCGUUGUCUUGCUUUUCAAAAAUACAAGUUCAAUUUAAUAGUUAAUCGCGAUCCGAUCAAAAUACAAAUUUUUUUUAAACACGAAGAUUUUUGAAACAAUUUUUUGAAAAUACGAUUUUUUUAAAACACGAGAAUUUUAGAGACACGAAAAUUCUUAAAAACACGAAUAUUUUUGAAAACACGACAAAUUUUUGAAAACAAUAUUUUUUUUGAAAACGUCGAAAAAUUUUUUGAAAACACGUAGAACUUUUUUUAGAAAAACUAGGUAAAAAAAACUAAAUUUUUUUUUAGAAUUCAAUUUUUGAGNNNNNNNNNNNNNNNNNNNNNNNNNNNNNNNNNNNNNNNNNNNNNNNNNNNNNNNNNNNNNNNNNNNNNNNNNNNNNNNNNNNNNNNNNNNNNNNNNNNNNNNNNNNNNNNNNNNNUUUGAAUAUUUACAAUUUUUAAAAGGACGUAUCGUAUUUAACAUAAACCGGUGAUAUUCACCCAAUAUAGCGAUGAAAUCAUCGAUUUAAUGUUAAAUCGAUUCGUUGCCUUAUUUAUUAAAAUUAAAUUAAAUUAAAUUAAAAACAUAAAUACAAAAAAUAUAAAAGUGCAUAAAAAUACCAAUAAUAUUAAAACGAAAUGACAUAAAAAUACAUGCAUUAAAUUAAAAAUGAAAUAAAUAAAAUUACCGAAAAUGUCUGAAAUACGAGCUUCGCCGAACGGGUUACACAAAUUAAAACCCGUUUUUUCUUUUUUUCUUCUUUUAUCUUCUUUUUUCCUCUCUUUUUCUUUUUUUUUUCUUGACUGGGCUGGCCUGUUGGGCUGCUGCUAGGCCUGGGGGCUGCUGCUGCACUGGGCCUGGGGGCCUGCUGGGCCUGCUGCUGCGCUGGGCCUGCAUUUGGGCUGCUUCUUUCUUCUUCUUUUUUCUGCUUCUUUCUUUCUUUCUUUUUUCUGCUGCUUCUUUUUCUGUUUUGGUUUUUUUUUUUUGGGGCUGGCCUGCUACUGCUGUUGGGUUGUUGGGUGCUGUGGGUCGAGUCAAUUUUGCGGGUCGGGUCGGCCCGAUUUAAAAUAAUUUUUUUUUUCUUUUUUUCUUCUUUCUUCUUCCUCUUUUCUUCUUUCUUUCUUCUUCUUUCUUUCUCUUUUUCUUCCUUUCUUUCUUCCCCGAUCAGGCCCCCCUUCGGGUUGCUUUCGUCGACGGCGACCUACUUCCCACCGACGGCCGACGGUGGCGCUCACGGUGGUCUUCCCUUUCCCCUUUUUUCUCUUUUUCUUUCUUUUUUUUUUCUUUUUGCUUGCUUUGCUUUUUUUUCUUUUUUUCUUGCCUCUUGGUUGUCUUGCUAGGUAUCGGGGCGGCGCGAGUGCGGUGGCGGAUGCGGUGGCGCGGGCACGACGGCGGUGGUGCCCCUUUUUGCUGUUGUUUUUGCUCUCCUUUUUUUUUGCUCAAAAUUUGUUUUUUUUUUUUUUCCUUUGCUUCCUUGCUUCCCCCCUUUUCUUCCUUGCUUUGGGGGUUUUAAAACCCAUUUUAUUUUGAUGUUCUCUUCUUUUUUUGCAGGUUGCAGGUGGGCUAGGGAGGGCUUAGGUCGGCCGCCGCGCGUUGCAGGUGCAACUUGUGUCAGUGGCAGCCAGAGGGACCAAAAUGUAGUGGCAGCAAAACUUUUGGGGCCGAAACGUAAUUUUGAGAAAGUUCAAGGGUCCAAAUGUAAUGUUAAGAAAGUUUAGGGGUCAAAAUGUAAUUUAGAAAAGUUUAGGGGUUGAACUGUAAUUUUGAGAAAUUUUAGGGGUUAAAAUACAAUUUUAGAAAAGUUUAGGGGUCAAAAUGCAAAAAAAAUUAAAAAAUUUUUAAUUUUAAUUUUUUUUUAACGAAAGUUAUUCCCGGAUAAAAUUCAGUGAUUACAGAUUAAAUAGUUGUAUAUGAUAUUGAUAUCAUAGAUAGAUGAAUCGAUUUAAUUUAAGUCGGUUCAACUUAUAAAUACCUUAAUUUUAUAUAAUAUAUAUGUGUAUUUAUAUUAUUAUUUAAGUUCUUGAUUGGGUUAGCGUCACUCUCAACCGGGUCACCAAAUUUACUAGGAAAAUUAUUGAAAUGUUCUUUCGUAAUUAAAAUAAGUUGUAUUAUUCGAAGGUAUUUUUGCCUUUUUAUUUUUAAAAAGUAAAUAAAAAUAUGUGUAUGGUGGUAUUUGAAUCCAAACUAAUUGGGUUAGAAAAAUAUUUAAUUUAUCACUCAACUAAAACCUUUUAUUUUGAUAUUUUUAUAUAUUUUUUAUUUUAUUAUACACACUUUAUUUUAAUACCGUACAUAUUUCAUGUGUUAUUAUGCUUAAUUAGUUUCAAAUCAUGUGUUUCAUUAUUUAUUAUUUGUUAUUUUUAAACACAUAUUUGUACUCUAAUAUUUAUAAAAUAACAUAAUCCUCGAAAAGGAAACAUGCACUUCUAGGUAAGUUAAGUUUUUACCAAAUGACACAUGUUGAUAAUUGACACUUUAGGUGGUUAUUGAUGGCCUUGUAAAGUCUUUCGAUCUUAACAUUAUACAAACCAAAACCUUAGUAUUGCACAAACAAUUAUUUUAGUAUCUUUAGAAUAAUAUGAUUAUCAUAAGUUUAAAAAUAUCUGAUGCGGAAUUGAAAUUGGUCAUUAGAUUUUAUGAAGAAGAACACCCGAUAAAUUGAUUUCUCCCUCUUAACCUUUUUCCCUUAACUACACAAAUAAGGAAAAAAAAUUUAUGUGUUUUGUGUGCAACUCUAAUAAGUAAAGUGGGAUUAAUUUAUAAUGAUAAACUUUUAAUCUGAUCAAGUAACCCAACGAAAUGAUAAAAUUUAAUUUCUAUUAAAGUAAAACUUUUAGGCCCCAUGAUUUUAGAGUUAUUGGGUCCACAUAAUUGGGAUAAAAAUCUUACAUUCUCUCACUUGGCCUAAUGAGAUAAAACAUAAACUUUAAUAGAACAAUUGUUGAGUGCGCAUAAAAAUAAUAUAAAAUUUGUCAUUAAAAUUUGAUUAGGUUGACCUCAUAUAAUGUGGCAGAUGAUUAAUAGAAAAUAAACAUGUUAAAUUGACAAAUUUUGAUAGAAACUGCCAACGAUAAUAAUAACCAAAUUAGAAUUUUUAAAUUGAAAAGGGAGGACUGAAAUUUUAACUUUUAAAGUACAAGAACCCAAUCUCAAAUUAAUUACAAGUACAGGGACUAAUAACACAUGUUAGCUUCUUCUUCUUUUUUAGGUAACAAAAAUAAUCAAUAUAUGACCAACAUGCGGUAGAAAUUUAUUUUAUUUUAUUUUAAAUAUUAAAUUACUUUUAGUUUAAUUAAAAUUUUUAAUUUUUUUUAAUUUAACAAUUGAACCGAGUGAUAAAAUACUUGCAAAUAAAUAUUCUGUGGGCAAAGAUUUAAUCAUUAAAUAUUACAUUUUUAAUUAUUUCAUUUAAGUACGUCGCAUAAAAAUAGUAAAAAGCGAAAGUAUUAAUAUUAUAAUUUUGAGACACCUUACAUGCGAUUCAAUUGUCUAAUCCAAAUGCGCGACUUCACAUUAUGUUGUCAGGGUAACUCAAACUAACUUGAUAUCAUUUUACUAAGUAACAUACAUUCAAACAAAUAAAUCACGUAUAAUUUCAAUUAAAUCAUGUGUACAUGUUUAAUGAAUGUCAAUUGAUCUAGUUUAAAGUAUUUAGGAGUUGUAUAGGAUCAAAUAUAGAGUUGGGAUUCGAAUCCAAACUCAUUUAUCCAAAUUUUAUAGGGGGUUUCGAGACAUGACAUUCAUGUCUCGAGACACUAAUAUAAUAUGGUCUAAAAUGAACAUUUAAAUGCAUUCAAUCACAAAUCAAUUCGUACCUAACUUAAACAAACUUUACACAAUUUCAUAUGCAUCAAUUUAACAAACAAAUAUAUAACCAAAUAUCCAAACAAUUUAACAUCAAGUCACCUCAACCUAAUGUAGUUAAAUAAAUGGCUUAAUACUUAAAACCAUGCAAACUCAUUCAUUACUCAAGCAUUAAAACUCAACAAAAGAAACCUUAUAGGUCCAUAGCUAACCAAAGCAUACCAUAUUGACCAAAACAAUAUUUAACUCGAGCUGAAUUACUGACCUUAAAUGCUUUACAAUUUUGAUCUACUAAAAACCUGUUUGAGAUCUGCGCAUAAAAACAAACACAACUAUACGUUGAGUAUUAAAUACUUAAUGGUGCUAACAUAAUCUGAAUUCAAAUAUAAAACAUUAAGCAAUUUAAUAUACUAAAUAAACAUUUUAUUUAAUAGAUUCAAUAUCAUAAUACUAAGGGCCAGUUCUUCAUUGCUUAACAAAAGCACUUCUGACUCCAAAAGUACUUUUGAAAGAAAAACUGUGAAGAACAAGCUGCUUUUGGCUGAAAUUUUUAGCUUUUUUCUGAAAAGGAGCUGAAAAUGAGAAGCUAAAAAUUUUAGCUUUUACUCUCCCAAAAGCACUUUUUGUGCUUAAUUACUUUUUCACCCCUCCAAUAACAUAGUAUUUUCCUUUUUUUUCUUGGUGCUUAAUUACAAAUGUGUUAAAAUUAUUAAUUAAAAAUAAAAAAUAUUUCUUAAAAUACUAAUUACAAAUAUUUAAUGGUUAUAUUUAAAUAUUUAAAAUAUAGUUUAUAUAUUCUAAUUAAAUUUUAUAAAUAAUUAAUAUUUAUUGCUUAAAAAUAUUUAAAAUUUAUAUUUCAUAUAUUAAAAUAUUAACAAUAAGCUAUAAUAAUUUUUUUAUAUUCUUACUAAAAUAUAAUAAUAUUAACUAAUUUAAAUAUUAUUUAAAUGCAUAUUUGUUACUUGAUAAUAACAUGUCUAAAAUGGACAUUUUAUUUCUCAAAAGCACUUUUUGACAGUAAUACUAAACACUCAAAUUUUAAGCCAAACUUUUCAAAAGCACUCCUCAAAAGCACUUUUCCACAGCACUUUUUAAAAGCAAUGAAGAACUAGCCCUAAGAUGGCAUUCUAGUAUUUCAUUACCCAAUUUCAUAUCGAGCAACAAUCAUCCCGUAACUUUAUACCAUUUCAUUUAUUCACCCUCAGGGUAUUUAAGUGACAUUUACCUAUGCAAUCAAUUUUCUCCUCGUGAGGCAAGUUCCAAUGUCACGAUACCCAAAACAAUAUUGAAAUUGAGAGUCUUGGAGGUCUCGGUGUCAUGAUACCCAUCUUUGGUAUCGCUAUAUCACUGGAGUUGACCUUAAGUUUUUUCACUUCAGCAUUGUUAGGGGUAUUACAACUUUCAUGACCUCAAUGUCGUGAUACCCCGUUCUAAAUGAUAAUUUCCUCGAGUUUGGGCCAUUAUCAACUUCCUACACCAACUCAAUCAUAUCACUAGGUCCCCCAUGGCGCCAUUUGGGUCUUAAUAUGGCAUAAAACUAAUAAAAAUUAUUAAUUAAUAACAAAAACUAAAAAUCGACAAAAGUAAAGAAAAUACACUUAUAUUGCUUGAGAAUAAGCUCCUCGAGUGUAAUGGAAAGCCUAAUUUGACAUAUCAAAUUACGUCAGAUCACUUGUUCAGCACAGGUUCAAACCGUGUUACCCCCUUCCUCUACCCCUAAUAUUGUAUAAAAAAACUAAUUGCUAAUCUUCUAAUGUAGUCUCUGUACUAUAGUACUUAAUAGUUUAUAUAAUUUAAUUACUAAAUAAUUUUAUUUCUAAUUUAUCUUUUAUUUUUUUAAUCUCACACUCGCUUUGUAAUUGCUCGAUCAAAAUUUUGAACAACUCGAUUUAAUAAAUUUGAUCCCACAAUUAACUUUUCCGACAUUGAAAAAAAUCGAAUCAAUACAAUAUUAUAAAAAAAAAUUUUAAGUAUAGGUGUAGUUAGGAGUCCAUGUUUUUUUAUAUUAAUCUAGUUUGAAGAAAAAAUCAAAUAAUAAAAAGUAGCAAAUUUUAAAAAUUUAUUUUCCUAUAAAAAAAGUUGUUAAAUUAAAUUAUUAUCUUGAAUGAUGUUUUGGUAUAAAUUAUGCAUGGGUUCUUUUUAAAUCUAUUUUGAUUUAAAUUUCGUUGUGUGUGGACCAUAUUGAUUUAUAAUAUGUUUGGUUUGUGUUUUGUUUUUUUUUAAAAUAAAUUUGGGCUAAACUGGUGAACGAAAUAUAUCUUUAGAUGCUAAAUAGAAAUUAAAAAUUUAAAUAACCAAAACAAAUAUAUAUAUAUAUAUAUAUAUAUAUAUAAAAAUUCAAGAGCUCAAACAUGAAUAAAGGCUAAUAAAUUUUGUGAUAAUUUUCUCUCACCUAUAGGCAAAUAAUUUCAAAAAAUAAAUUAUUUGAUAUAUUAUUAAUAAAUUUUAAAAUUUUUAUUUAUGAAUUUAAUAAAAUGUUAUAAUUUUUACUAAAAUGAAAUAUAUUAAAAUAAUGUAACAAAAUUCAUAUUUUGAUUUAUUUGUGAAAAUUAAAAAUCUCAUCAAGUUUAUAUAAAAAUGUACUUUUUAUUUUAAAUAAACGAUAGAAUCAUUUGGUUGCACCGAAGUGCCUAUGUGUUGGGUCGGAUAGCACACAAAAUUUUCCUAAAGCUCUUGCCUAAGCAUUAUUUAGGAUGAUGGGCUUUGAUUGAUCUGUUAGCCCAAAAGGUUAUAUUAAUAUAUAUUUUAUAAUUAAAUUUAAAUAUAUUUUUUUAUUUUUAAAUGUGCUUCAGCACACUGAAAUUCACAAUAAUAACAAACGUUAAUUAAAUUAAUUAUUUAAAUACUAACUUUUUAUAAAUAAUGAUUUCGAUUUACAUGUUGAUCUAAGUCAUGCAAAAUGUCUAACGUACCAAUUUAUAUAACCAAAGAAAAUACUUUAAUUUGUAGUGUAAGCUACACCAUUAGUCAAUAAAUUAUUAAUACAUUUUUAUUUUGGUCAUUGAACUACUUAAAAGUUCUCAUUUAAGUCAUUAGACUGUUAAAAUCGAUGCUACAUGGUUUUCUCAAUUCGCAUUGCUUGCGCUAAUCGAAAGCUCUCUUUCUCAUUUUCUUCUACAGUUGAGUUUUUUUUUUAUGAAACAAUUUUGGAUGUUACAAAUCUAAAAAACCAAAAUUUAAACAACUUUUCCCUCCGAUCUCUUACAUUGAUCAUCACAUUGAUCUGGAUCUAAAGUAUGUUCUUUUACUCGUCAAUGGAUAUUGAUCCACAUACUGAUCCUCGAAUUGUUGCUUGAAACUCGCUGGUGGAACUUAAAAAAAAAAACUUAAUAACUUAGUGACUUAAAUAAAAACUCUUGAAUAGUUCAGUGACUUAAAUGAAAAUUUUAAAAUAGUUCAAUGACCAAAUUAUAAUUUUUUAGUUAAGUGACCAAAACAAAAAUUUACCCAUAAUUGUGUAUUUUUCACUAAUUUGUAUCACUAAAUUACUUUAAGGGAUAUUGAGGAGUGACAAUACUUGUUACAGAUAGGCAAAGUUUUCAUCAAAAUUUGAAAAAAAACCUAGUGCAAUAGUUAUAUAAACUUUAGGGUAAAUUACAUCAAUUGUCCCUAAUCUUUAAUUAAAAUUAUAUUUUAGUCACGUAACUUUCAAAAGUUACAUAAUUGUCAUUAAAGUUAUCGAAAUGUUACAUUUUAACCACUCAUCAUUUAACUUUCGUUAAGAAGAUGAUGUGGCACAUUAAUUUAACGGGUUAGUCCCUGAACAAUAAUUAAAAUAUCAAAUUGACACUUUUAAAAUUUUUCUUUAUAAUAAUUCUAAAAAAUUUAAAGGGUAAACUACUCCAAUAGUCACUUAAGUUUUAAUGCGUUCCUAUUUUGGUUACCAGAUUUUUUUUUUUGUUAAUUUAGUCAUUUCCAUUAGAUUAAUUGUCAUUUUUAGUCACUCCAUCGUUAAAAUACAUUAGUCAUUGAACGGAAUGUUGAUGUGGCAAUCUUUUGAUUGGUAUAAUAACAAAUUUAGCCCUUAACACUUUACAUAUUCUGUUUACUUGGUCCUAUGUUGAAAAAAUAAACAAAUUUAACUCAAUGUUUACACAUUUUGUCAAUUUAGUCCAAAUUCAAAAAUUUUAUAAUUUUAAAAACUUGAAAAAAUAUAUAUAAUUUAUUAUAAAAAGACAUAAAACUAAAAAAAUAUUAAAAAAAUAUAUAAAAUUACUUGGUUGGGCUUUGAUUGUAGAUGAAACAAUUUAUACUUUUCUUUGGCUGAUGCAAACUUGGUUUAUAGCAAUGGGGGAAUAGGCUCCGCAAGUGAUGCUCACUGAUCAAAACAAUGCCAUAAAAGUAGUUGUAGCUGCUGUGUUUCCUGCUGCACGACGUUGUUUCUGUGUUAUGGCAUGUCUUGGGUGACUAUCUAAGUAAUUUACCCUUUAAAUUUUUUAGAAAAAGAUUAAAAGUAUCAAUUUGAUAUUAUAGUUAUAGUUCAGGGGCUAAAUUAGUUAUUAACCCUUUAAAUUAACAUGUCGCAUCAUUCUCUUAACGAAAGUUGGGUGAUUUUAAUCAAAUGUGCAGUUUAUCUUAUGUAUAAACACCGUAUUAAUAGAGUUUAAUAAAUAUUGUUUUCGUAUAUGUAGAUUAGAUCGCUCAAUAGUUGAAUAGGUUACAUAGAUGAGGAAGUUAGGUUUGUAUAAAAGAAGAUUGAAAUGAUUCAAUCAUUUUUGUGAAAUAAUAUUGAACAAAUAAAAUUUGAACAUUCAUAAUAUUUUCUCAAAAUUACGAACUUCAUCGCAUAAAAAGAAAACACGAGACUAACGACUGUUUCUCGUUUGUUGACCAAUAUUAUCCGGAAGUAGCUUUCAAAUGCUUAAAAAGUAACAGUGUAUUUUACAAUAUUAUCAGGCUACAUGGCCUCACUUUGUAUUCAAUAUAUAUUAUAAAAGAAAGCAAAGAACAAAAAUACAAAAUAAAUAAAGAAACUUACAUAGUGCUUUAACUUAUUACAAAGGGAUUUGUCUCCUUAGUAUGUUUCUACCAUGGGAGAUCGCCACUUUUAUCCCAACUAUCAGGUUAUCAUUACGUUGCCUUGGAGACAUCCUUACUUGACCUAUUGUACUUCAUAUGGCUCCUAACUAGUUGUCCUGCUGAAAUUGCAGACAUGAGCGACAGCUCCCCGGCAAGAACAGCAGACGCUACAAUGGUUGCUAGCGUCCUAGAGUUUGCCCCCGGUGUCUCUUUGCUUGCACCCUUCACUCCAAGUAAGUUCAAACAGGCUGAUUGAGAUGCAAGCUGAGUUCCACCACCAACAGUCCCAACCUAAAAGAUACAGCAACACAGAUAAUUAGGGACUAACAUAAAUAUCCAGAUUUUGUUUUGGCAACGUAAGUCCCUGUGUUGGAUAAUCAGACAGCAACACUAUCAAUUACCUCGAUGGAAGGCAUUGUGACAGAGAUGUGGAGAUCCUUGCCAUCAUUAACAGCUUCCAUCAUCGUGAUGCAAUGCGAGCUCUCGACGUUUUGAGCCGGAUCUUGGCCGGUAGCUAUGUAGAUUGCAGCAACGAUGUUACUGGCGUGAGCGUUAAAUCCACCCAGAGCUCCAGCCAUAGCUGAUCCAGUAAGGUUCUUCAGCAUGUUAAGCUCAACGAGAGAUUCCACACUUGUCUUCAAGACCUUCCUAACCACAUCACCCUUAAUGGUGGCUUCACAGACAACAGAUUUGCCUCGUCCUUCAAUCCAAUUUACCGCAGCCGGUUUUUUGUCGGAACAAUAGUUUCCUAUAUGCACAAAUUCAUAAAUAUCAGUGAUCCUAUGUCGGACAGUAAAAAGACAUAAUUGCAAGCCUAUACAAAAAAAUGAAACUCACCAGAGAUGCCAAUGACAUCCAUGUCAGGGAAAUCAGUUUGAAGGAAAUCCAAAACGUUUUGCACUCCCUUGGAAACCAUGUUCAUCCCCAUAGCAUCACCUGUACUGCAAGUGAAUCUAAUAUACAGAUUCUUUCCAGCAAUUGCACAUUUGAUACCCUGGAGCCUGCCAAAUCUACUUGAUCUGCAACCACCAAAAAGCCAAAAUUUUCAAUAUUAGCUUGAAUUUUAAAUCAAUCAAUAUGGAGUUCUAGAAAUACACAAACAAACCUGUUGAAAACAACAGACAAGGUCUCGAAAUUAUCAGGGUCCUCCAAAUACAACUUCAAAUCAGCUGCCCUUUUCGCAGUACCGAACCUUACACAUGGAGCUCUUGUCAUACCAUCUUUCAAUAGAACACUUGUAGCUCCACCAGACAAAUGAAUAGCCUUACAGCCCCUAUUAGUGCUAGCCACCAAGCACCCUUCCGUGGUUGCCAUAGGAACCGAGUACUCUCUUCCAUUAACCAACAAAGGCCCGGCAAUUCCAACGGGAAUUUGCACGUAGCCAACCGGCAUCUCACAACACUGCCCUAAAAUCGACUCGUAAUCAAACCCAUCCAAGGGCAAUCCAGAUAACGACUUCCCUGUUAAUCUUUGCAACGCUUCCCGCCUGAUUGCAGCCGCCCUCUUGCAAUCACCCAAUUUCGAUUCCAAGGAAUACGAAGGGGUUGUACCAGCCACUACAGAUUUAAUUAUUUCUUCAUCUUCCUCCGUUAG
rnacentral:lncRNA from 1 species